rnacentral:rRNA from 1 species
GCAAGUCGAACGGUAACAGACAAGAGCUUGCUCUUGUGCUGACGAGUGGCGGACGGGUGAGUAACACGUGGAAAUCUACCCAGUAGCGGGGGAUAAGUCAGAGAAAUUUGAUCUAAUACCGCAUACGCCCUACGGGGGAAAGGCUUCGGCCACUAUUGGAUGAGUCCGCGUUAGAUUAGCUAGUUGGUGAGGUAACUGCUCACCAAGGCGACGAUCUAUAGCUGUUCUGAGAGGAUGAUC